rnacentral:lncRNA from 1 species
GAAAACUUGGAGGUCAAAGAGGGGAUCCUUUGGGGUGUGUUCCUUUGAUGAGAGUGUUUCUUAGGUUGGGAAAACAACAUUGUAAUCACCUUGGGAUUUAAGGUUCAUAGUGUGAGGAUGGGAAAAUACCAAAGGGUAGAUCUAGGGUUUUGUCAUGUGUAAAGCUUGAUAAGCUAGAUUCUUGUAACUCUUUUGUAACACAUUCACAUAUUGGAUUGGAGAGCUGCUCUCUCCCCCAGAUUAGGCCACAUUGGCUGAACUGGGUCAACAAUCUUGCUUGGUGUUUGUUCUUUUCUUUUCAUGGUUUAUCUUGUUAUGCUUGUUAGCUCUUAGUGUGGUUUUGCUAUACAUUAGGCUUAGGCUGUUUUGUUGUUGUUAGCUUGGAGGCCAUUUACUCUCAUAGAUUAUCUCUAUCACUUGCUCCACAC